AAGGGCGCUGCAGGGGAGAAAGGGAGUUUCUAAAUGGAAGCAGAGGGCUCUGGUAGGUUCUAAGAUCACUUGUAAACUGUGGCAACCCUGCUCGUGACUUAGUUCUCUCAGGCUCCCAGUCGAAACAGUCCCAGAGGCGACGCGAUUUGCCCGAAGUCUGCAACUUCCUGGAACUGGAAACCAAUCGGAAGACUUCCGCGUCGCGGCUCUUUCCGCCGUGAUCAGGUUACCCAGCGCCUCGGGACCUGCUUUUGAAAAGGAGAGGUCGACCUGGGAGAGCCGCUGAACGAGAUACUCUUCGGAAUCGGAUAUUUUCCUCGAAGUGGGAUUACUGGGUUGAAGGGUAUGCACAUAUGUAAGGCUCUUGAUUCAGAGUCCCUCCAGCCGCGCCAGAAUGAGUGAGUCAGCUUCCCAGCAAGCUGGCCAAAACUCGGUGGAGAUUGGACUGACUUUAAAGAAAUAUUCUUAAGGAGCACCGAGAAAUCCUGUGUGGAAAAGGAGACCGUGACACCAGGCACAUUCUGCCCAGUGAGGUCUUAGCUCAGGUACUAUGACAGGCAGCUUCUGAGGUGGCCCCCACUGAUCCCUGGCUCCUCAUAUCCAGCCCUUGGGAUUCUGAAGAAAGGAAUGUGGCAGAAGCUGCCUUGUUGUGAACUGCUCUGUGAUGAAGGCCAUGUGACAAGGAGCAGAGGGAAGCUUCCAGCCAAAAACCUGUGAGGAACUGAAUCCUUCCAGCAGUGAUGUGAGUGAGCUUGACACAGGAGUCCCCUCCCCAGCUGGGCCUUCAGAUGAGAUGGCCGCCCCAGCAGUCAGCAUUAACCGCAACCUCAUGGAAGACCUUCAGCCACGAGAGGCAGCCAGUUAAGCCAUGCCUGGAUUCCUGACC